rnacentral:misc_RNA from 1 species
AAAACAUUGGCAAGGUAGAAUGGCAGCAUCUAAAGAAAAGAAAGAAAGAAUUUUUUAUCUUAUUUUAAAGAUUAUGAUAUUUACUCGAUCGAAUGAACAAACCACACAUAAAAGGAAACACACUCAGAUCGAAUCAUACAAAUCUUGGGCACACAAACAGCAAGGUGUCAAGAGGGAAAACAAAUGACAACAUAUGGGUUAAUACUCCCUCCCUUUUACUUCCAUAACUUCACAUAUGCCUUAUGAAUAAGACAAUCGACAACAAACUUCAAGCAGGAACAAUAACAUGGGUAUGCACUUAUGAACAUCUCAUGUCCAAGAAAUAAAUAUGACAGCAAUGUCAUGGUAAACAGCAUAAACAGUACAUGACAAAGGAUAAUCAAGGAAUGAAAAAGAGGCUAAAGGUCAAAGCUAACAACAUACAACCUAAGGCAUUAGCAUCCAAAUUCAUAUAUCUAAACAAAGUGACGGGAUGAUGCUAACCACAAGGUCAAAUGCAUAUACACAAAAAGAAAGCAAAUAGUUCAGCCAUGACGAAGUAAAAUCAGCCUCUCAAGGCUGUAAACAUUCGAAAGAGGGUGUGGAAGAGCUGGCGUUCGAUUGAUAUCCAACCUAAUGAAAUAGAGUGAUGACUUAACAUCACAUGCCAAGCAACUUCUACUCAUGAUGGCUAAAAAGAAAGGAUAACACAGGGGAAGCGUCUACAAAAGAACGAGAACAUGCUCAAAAAAUUACAAAAAUUAAUCAAACAAUGACAGACCAAAUCCAAAUCCUAGGAACAACAUCAAUAAAUCUUUCAUUCUAUCAUCAAUCUACAUGGUAUUCGAAG